GAAACCCCACCAAAACCCCCAAACCAGAACCGAACACCCUACUCUCUCUCCCUCCCUCUCUCAUGGCGGAAAAUCGCAAUCGCGAUUCCGACGAUACAACAACAACAUCAGGUCACAAUGCGGUCUUCGUCGACACCAGUCUCGACACCCAUCUCGCCGUGAUCGUUUCCGACUCCGAUACCGUCUCCGACCUCAAAAAGAAAAUUAUGAGCGAGCACUCACUGUGUUUUCCUAACUUUGGGGAGAUAAAAAUCAAUGCAUUGAAGGUUAAGCGGAAAAGAUGCUUCUAUCACCUAUCAGAUUCUAUGCUUGUUAAAAGUGCUUUUAAUGGUGCCAAGAAAUGUUGGUUUGUUUCUGUUGAUGCUUUUAGUUUAAAGCAGCAUGGUGAUAACCAAUUGCCCACUGAUCCUGCCGUAAGCAACCAACUAGCCGUAGUUUGUUUCACGAAAACUCCCACGGGUGAUUUGUAUGCAUCAUCCCCGAAGAUUGGUAACCCUGAAGUUGCUUCAGGUAACACUGGUGAAGACGUUUUAAACAAUGUGAAGAUGACGAGUAUGGGAGUUGAUGGGGAACCUUGCAAUACUUCAUUUCUUGUUAACAAUGUGAGGUCAGAUUUGGUAGAAAUCCAAGGAACACAUGUUGAAGAGGAACACUCAAAAUCCAGACCUGAUGCAAAGAAAAAGCGGAAGAGAGAAAGUAAAGGAGAUGAAAAUCCUUUAGAAGGAAACGAUACCUUGCUUGUUAUUGAAGACACUUUGAAGCCAAAGGAUAAAAUUCUUGAAAAUUCUAUGGGGUACAUGAAGAAUUGUAAAAUGAAUUCCGACAUGGCAUCUGUUGCUGCAAUAGUUUCUGAAAUAAACAUGCAGUAUGCAAAUCCUUCGGGAACUUUCGAAGUCCCUCAGAAGCAAAAGCACCAUAAAUCAGUCCAAGAGGUGGUGCAGCAAGAGAAAUUACGUUCUUCAGUUGAUUCUUUGUUUAGGGAACCUCCAGAAGAUGACCAUUUGGUAGCUGUUACUCAUGAAAAGAAGAAAAGCAAAAAGAUGAUGAAAUUACCAGCAGACCGUGUAAUCGAUGCUGAGCCCUCUUUUGGGAUAGAAGGUUGUAAGGAAAAUGUGGGAACUGCAUCCAAGGAUUCUGAUAAGACAUCUGGUUUGGUAAUGGUUUCUGAAAAAAAUGUUCAGCAUGCAACACUUUCUGGAACUGUAGUCUCUGAGAAGCAAAAGCGCAGUAAACCUGUCCAAGAAGUUGUGGAAGGGCACAAAUUACCUUCUUCAUCAAUGGAUUCUUUAUUUACUGAAGAUGGCGAUUUGGUAGCUGGUUCUAGUAGGGGGACGAAGGAAAGUAAAAAAAAAAAGAAAUUACCAACAGAUGAAGCGGUUAAUGCGAAGCUGUCUUCUGUGCAUGAUGUUGGGAUAGAAGGUUGCAAGGAAAAUAGGGGAAUUGUAUCCAAGGAUUCACACAAGGCAUCUGGUUUAGUAAUAGUUUCUGAACAAAACGAUCAGCGUGCAACACUUUCUGUGCAAGAAGUGGUGGAAGGGCACAAAUUACCUUCUUCAUCCAUGGAUUCUUUAUUUACCGAACGUACGGAAGAUGUCCAUUUGGUACCUCAUUCUAGCAGUGGGACGAAGAAGAGUAAAAAGAAGAAGAAAUUACCAACAGAUGAAGUGGCUAAUGCUGAGCCCAAGGAAAAUGUGGAGACUGUAUCCAAGGAUUCAGAUAAGGCAUCUGGUUCAGUGAUAGUUUCUGAACUAAACGUUCAGCAUGUGACACUUUCUGGGAUUGUCGAAGUAUCUCGGAAGCAAAAGCGCACUAAACCUGUCCAAGAAGUGGUGGAAGGGCACAAAUUACCUUCUUCAUCAGUGAGCAUUAAUGCAAACAGACCUGAUGCUGCAAAUGAAAAGGGAGAAACUGAUGCUCCUGAUUCAGGUGCUCGAAGUAGAUCAAAAGGGAGAAAAACUUCGAAAAAGCAUCACUCCACUAAUGUGGAAGGGUUUCCUUCGUUAGCUGUCUAUGAGUCCAAUAAUCUGAAGAAGGAUGACAUGCAGUCUCGGCAUGCAAAUAUUGCCCUUGAUGAUCAGAAUUUUGAAACCAAUCAUCCUCAAAAAAAUGAAGAGCGAAAGGAAUUGCCACGGAACCAUGAUCCUGAAGCAAUGCUGUCUGGAAAGUGUGAACCUCCGAUUCAUGGUGAAGCAGAUAUGCAUUCUAAAAAAUCUGUUGUCUCGGAUAAUUUGUUAGAAAGCACCAUAGUCAUGGAGUCUGGGAAAUCUGCUGGCAGUGGAAGGAUGAAAAUGAGUGCGAAGAAAUCUGUUGCAACAAAGAAGGUAAUUUCAAGCAAGGAGCAUGUUGAUAAUUCUGUUAGUGGUAUCUCUUCGCAGGUGCCUCGUUUUGAUGAUCACUCCUCUGGUGAAGCUAAGAAAGAAAGCUUCUUGUCUCCGACUAAAACGAAAAAGAUGUCGAAACGAAAGACUGUGGAUACUUCUAUUGUUGGUGCUAAUGGGCAAAGUGAUGGUGCGUGUGGAAAUGAAGCAGAAUCAUUGCCGCCAACUCGAGUAGAUAAAACUCAGCGGAAUGCAGAAACUAGUGAUGGCAACUUAAGAAAGAAAGUGGAAAAGAAUGAUGAUGAUGAUGGUAAUGCUUCUAAGAGUUGCAAAUCGACUGAUGCUAAUUAUCAUAGAGAAGUUUCUAAGUGUGAUGGUGAUAGCAUUAAUUUCAAAGACUACUUCAUGCCUGGAGACCGUAACCAUGAAGUUACACCUGUUGAGUUGGUUGUUGACAACGUGAGUGAAGCAAAAGGAUCAGAUAAGGAAACGAAAACUAAAAAGAAUGCCAAAAAGGUUGUUUUACCUUCUCCAGCCACCUCUCAUGAUCCAGGAAACUCAAUCAACUCAUAUGUAAACCAGGGAAGUGACAGAAGAUCUCAGGGAGUUUCAAAAGCUUCCCGUAAAAAAAUGGGGGAAGUUGUGAACAGUUCACGGCAGGAAAAGAGUUUGUUGGCUACUCCUGGUGCCAUUUUUAAUGGCAGUAGUGAGAGUUCUGAAGAUGAGAGCACGACUGCGAAUUCAGAUUCCAGCACCAAAACCCCGUCAGAUAAUUCAUCUUCAUCAGGUUUCUCGGAAGGGGAUGGCAAGUUAAAUCUGGACUCAUCAAGAAAUGGAACUUCUGGUGCAAAAGAUAACGAUGGCGGGAAAAGCAUCACAAAAUCCCAAGCUUUGGCCUCCAAAAAUUUAACAUUGGAUAGGAUUCUUAAAAGUUCAAGCAGAUUCAAGAAGGCCAAGCUCACAGCAACUCAGUCACAACUUGAAGACGCUGAAAGUCAGCCUGUUGAUUUUGUUCCGGAUGGUCAAGCGAGCCUGUAAUGACUAGAGAUACCUCUGUGGUUUGGUUCAGAUACCUCUGCAGUUAUGCAAAAGAGAUAUGGACAUACGGCCUAGGGGUUUGGUUACAAGUUGGGUUUUGGGUGCAAAGGACGUAACCGUGGUUAUGAUUCUUGGAAGUUCAAGCAGAUUCAAGAAGGCCAAGCUCACAGCAACUCAAUCACUACUAGAAGAAACGGAAGGUCCAGCUUUUGAUUUUCUACAAAGACAGUCCAGGAAGCUGCAAUUGCCCAAGGCGGGUUGCUCCUUGGCAAUUUUGCUUGUCCACCUUUUUGUAUUAUCUAUCCCUUUGCAAAAUAGACGGUUAAUAUUUUUGAGUUUUGAGAUUGUGGCAUUUCACCUAUGUCCUCUGCUGGACACAUUUUGUUCUUGUUUUGAAAUGGAAGGCUUGUAAUGACAGAAUCGAAAGGUGUCAAUCACCUGCCUAUGUUAUUGUAUUACGGGAUGAGCUAUUUUCCUCGA